ACAGGCAAACAAUGAAUUUGAAGACUCUGACACUGGAUUGAUGGCAAGACGAAUGUGAAAAUGGAUUACUGACCGAUGCGAUCACUUCUAAUGCUGUGGAAUUCAACCAAGGAAUAGUCAUCUUUGUUUUAGAUAGUAUGCUUAUAAACGAAGGCCACAUCCCCUCCAGCUCCUCCUCAGGGGGCUGAGCCAAUCAGCAGAGGUCAUGGGCCGACGGGCAGCAGACACGUCCAAUGCAGUGCCGGCACUGGAGGUGCCUCUAGCUGGUGGUCGGGCUGUCCUGUCUCAGAAAUGGGGCCCUUUGUGCAGCGUUGGUGUCCAAACGUCGCCGGGUCUCCGCUCACUUCCGUCAUUGAAGAAGAGGACUCAAACAGUCAGUACGGCCAAUGGACCGACUGCCGAAACCAUGUCGCUAGACCGGAUGAGGCGUUGUGAAGUCAACGGAAGGCAUGUCGUCAAGGCAGCAUCCAGGAACCAUGUGGCACAGGACAAAACGUCCCAGGAGAGCGAGGUGUACUGUCAAAUCAAAGCCAAUCCAAACCAAUCUGGGCAAAGAGGGAGUUUAAAAAGAACCCCUCGGUACGUUAAUGGAAGUAUUGUUGCGCCUGAGGUGGUGGGAGGAGUUUGUAGCGAAGGGGCGGAGUCUGAGGAAGCAAGGCGGCAGAGUCAAACAAUGACACGUGAAUGUAGGCGAGGUCAGUCACUGAAAGGGGAGGCAGUCAGGCCAGCCACUGGCUUGUACAACACAACCCCUCGCCCAUGUCGCAUGAUGACAUCAUCUCCCAGACUUUGCGGCAGUUGUGGGCGAAGACAGUCUCAAGCCCCGCCCUGCAUGGCGCCUGCUUGUCGCAAACGAGCCGCCAGUCAGGUUCAAGCAAGCAUGACGCUUCCGACGCCGCCGAGGAAAAGCUGUUCGCCUCGCUUGCAGAAAAGAAACUCAACAGUUGGACAGCCAACGUAUGUGCAAAUUCCCAAUCACACUACGCAAAACGCAUGCUCCACCCCUUCACAAUCCAACAAAAAAGAUGCGAAAACAGAGUCAUCGACGCAGUUUGAAAAACCCAAUAAUGGCUCGACGACGCACAAAACGCAACACACGCAAACACGUGUCAAAACAGAAUCAACCGCACAACAUGCAUCACAAGAUGCAAAGGACAAGUGUGCAACUACGCAAACGCACAAAUCUGCCACGUCCAAACCGAUUGGCUGUGAGUCCCAAGCCACGCCCACUCCUCCACCCAAGAAAGACUUGAAACCAAUACAGGUCAAAUGUAAGCCAGCACCUCCAGAGCUUCUGAUUGGCUCAGGGGUGGAGCCUAAACCUCAAACCCUGCCCCCUCCUCCAUCAGAACCUAAAACUGAGACUGAAACGGACUCUAAAGACAUCCACCCUCCUCCAACAGACGAUAUCCCACAAUGCAACGGUGCACCUGGUGUUCUACAUGGACUGCUGCAGAAUGUAGAAGAAAACCUGCUGUAUAAUCAGGAAAAGAUCAAAGUUCUUCUCAAUGUCAUUCAGGAUCUGGAGAGGAACAAAGCAAUGAGUGAAGGAACUCUGCUUUGACUCAAACCUCUGAUCUGUCAAGAUCGAUCAGGUAAGUGACUGUGUUGUAUGUGCUCAUUUUCAUUACAUAUUCAAAGACAUUCAAUAGAGGUCUGUAUGCCUGUGGGAUUCCCGCUGGCCUUGAUUUUAUUUGUUGCGACACAGGACUAAAUUUCUGAGUUGUAGAAAAACAAAGUUUCUAUAUGCAGAUUAAGUUUCAAGAGUUUUUUGCAUUACAAAUAAGGACUGGAACAACAUUCCAGCACUUUCAAAAAAAAAAAAAAAAACAAUUCAAUAGGGAAAAACUGUUAUGUAUUCAAAUAGUUAGACAUGCUAAAACACAGAAUUUGGUAACAAUAAAAUAUAUAAAUAAUAUGGUGAGAAAAAAUAAAACAUUUCAUAGGGCCCUAAACAUGAUCUUUUUGUUAAACUUUUGAUACAUUAAUGUGAAUUGUUUAUACUAUUAAAAAAAAGAGUUGAGAAAAAUUAAAUGGAAAAAAAAACUUAUUUUUUUAUUAAAGUGGAAAUCAGUUUAGUAAAUGAUAAACUUGACUGUUUGCUACUUUAAAGGGAUAGUAUUUGUGUUGUUUAUUAUUUAUUUUUAUGUAUACUAUUUAAUUUUGUGAAAUUACUUGCCUGUCAGUUGAGUUUGUGGCAAAACCUUUUGCAGUGUUUACAUGUUUUUUAUACCUGCAUAAAAUCUAUUAAAAUAGAUGUUUAAUUUCAUAAAGUAGAAUUUGAUUUCAUCUCGUGGGAUAAGUGUCUCGUCACACCCCUAAUAUAUGUGCUGUCAAACGAUUAAUCGCGAUUAAUCGCAUCCAAGAUAUAAUUUUUUGUUUACACAGUAUAUUUGUGUGUACUGUGUAUAUUUAUUAUGUAUAUAUAAAUACACACCCAGGCAUGUAUACAUUUAAGAAAAAUACAUAAUGUUUAUAUAUUAAAUAUAUUUAUAUAUAAUAUGAAUUAUAUUAAUAUAAAUAUAAAUAUUUUCUAAAUAUAUACUGUAUGUGUGUGUAUUUAUAUAUAAUAAAUAUAUACAGUACAAACAGAUAUAUUAUGUAAAUAAAUGUUUUCUUUAUCCUUAUAUAUAUAUAUAAAAUGUACAUGAACUGGACUGAAGCUUAAUAUUAAAAUCUUUAACAACUAAAACACAGGCUACAAUAAGAGCAUCUCUUGUGUCAUUAUUGAAAAGAAGACUCUUCUUUGUAAUACCUGGAAAUAAGCAACAAAUAAAAACACAGACGUGUAGGAAGAAACUCAUUGUGGGUGGAAAUGGGAUGGAAAAGCACAGACCUCUAAUUCAAUGUUCUGUGUGUGAAUCACAUGCUUAAAGUGUGUGUGUGUGUGUGUGUGUGUGUGUGUGUGUGUGUGUGUGUGUGUAGUGUGUGUGUGUGUGUGUGUGUGUGUGUGUGUGUGUGUGUGUGUGUGUCGGUCUUCAUACUUUCUGUUUUUUCUAGGCGUUGUUCUUACAGAACAGGUCAGGACAUCAACAACUGCUCAACCUGCCAGAAAACAGCCUGCAUUAUAUACAGGUGAACAUCACCCCAGCAGUCCACUUAUGUCUAUCAUGUCACCUUUUAGCCUUUUAUGACCAUUUCCUCCCUGUCCAAGCCUUACAACAAGCUGAUUCUGCUACUGUACUAUAUGCAAAUGACCUCUGCUGUAAAUGGCUAACCUUCACAUUAACAACAUAUAUGGUACGAGUACUCAGAACUGACACAAACAUGCAAAACAUAUUAAUCACAUGACUUUUAUCAACAUCAAGCAUUUCACACUUAUCAAAGGCCAGCAACAACCACAUGCAAAAAUAACAAAUUGGAGCCUUUUUCUUUUUUUUUUUUGGUGGUAGUUGGCGUUUUUGCUUAUUAUGUCGGUUAUAGGCUGACAAAACCUCACUUUACACUGUGACUCUUCAGACUUUCAGUCAACAGCGCUCAAUGCUGCACAGAGCAUUAGCGGGUGUCCAGAACUGACACAAACAUGCAAACAUAUUAAUCACAUGACUUUUAUCAACAUCAAGCAUUUCACACUUAUCAAAGGCCAGCAACAACCACAUGACAAAAUAACAAUUGGAGUCCUUUUCUUUUUUUUUUUUGGUAGUUGGCGUUUUUGCUAUUAUGUCGGUUAUAGGCUGACAAAACCUCACUUUACACUGUGACUCUUCAGACUUUCAGCAACAGCGCUCAAUGCUGCACAGAGCAUUAGCGGGUGUCACAGAGGACAUGCUGUGCUAAAAAACAGGUCGACAGUGACUGAAUAGAGAUAUAAGAACACAGGAGUCUAAAAGCCAUGUUAAAAAUGCAACACUCGUGCAGAGAGAUGCAAUGCAACAUCUGAGACAUUCGUCUGAUGAAAUUAGGUAGUCCUUUCUUUUUUUUUUUUUGGUUUAGUUUGGCGUUUUUGUCUAUUAUGUCGGUUAUAGGCUGACAAAACCUCACUUUACACUGUGACUCUUCAGACUUUCAGCAACAGCGCUCAAUGCUGCACAGAGCAUUAGCGGGUGUCACAGAGGACAUGCUGUGCUAAAAAACAAGGUCGACAGUGACUGAAUAGAGAUAUAAGAACACAGGAGUCUAAAAGCCAUGUUAAAAAUGCAACACUCGUGCAGAGAGAUGCAAUGCAACAUCUGAGACAUUCGUCUGAUGCAUGUACUGUACAUAGUAUAGAUCAACUAUAGUAUGUUGAAGGCAUGUAGUAGAUUGUCUGUGACAGGUUUAUCAGCAACAUUUUGAUCAUGUUGAUCAUACGUUUC
rnacentral:lncRNA from 1 species